GACGAACGCUGGCGGCGUGCUUAACACAUGCAAGUCGAACGAAGUGGCGAACGGGUGAGUAAUACGUGGGUAACCUGCCCUCCUUUUUGGGAUAAGCCUUGGAAACGGGGUCUAAUACCGAAUUAAGGGGGAUGGGCUCGCGGCCUUUCAGCUUGUUGGUGGGUUGGUGGCCUACCAAGGCGGUGACGGGUAGCCGGUCUGAGAGGAUGAACGGCCACAUUGGGACUGAGGCACGGCCCAGAAUCCUACGGGAGGCAGCAGGUGGGAAUAUUCCGCAAUGGACGAAAGUCUGACGGAGCAACGCCGCGUGAGUGAUGACGGCCUUCGGGUUGUAAAGCUCUGUUAAUCGGGACGCGGUACCGGAAUAGAAAGCCACGGCUAACUACGUGCCAGCAGCCGCGGUAAUUC
rnacentral:rRNA from 1 species